rnacentral:rRNA from 1 species
CUACGGGUGGCAGCAGUCGAGAAUCUUCGGCAAUGGACGCAAGUCUGACCGAGCGACGCCGCGUGCGGGAUGAAGGCCUUCGGGUUGUAAACCGCUGUCAGAGGGGAGGAAAUCAUCGGGGGCUAUCCCCCGGUGUUGACCUAUCCUCAGAGGAAGGACGGGCUAAGUUCGUGCCAGCAGCCGCGGUAAGACGAACCGUCCAAACGUUAUUCGGAAUCACUGGGCUUAAAGGGUGCGUAGGCGGUCCGGCAAGUUGGGUGUGAAAUCCCUCGGCUCAACCGAGGAACUGCGCUCAAAACUGCCGGACUAGAGGGAGAUAGAGGCGAGCGGAACUUAGGGUGGAGCGGUGAAAUGCGUUGAUAUCCUAAGGAACACCAGUAGCGAAAGCGGCUCGCUGGGUCUCUUCUGACGCUGAGGCACGAAAGCUAGGGGAGCGAACGGGAUUAGAUACCCUUGUAGUC